GGGUCAUUAGGUUGGUCGUGCCACCGGUACGUACUGGUCUCACUGAUUCCUCCUUCCUGAAGAACCGUAAUGCCAUUAAUUUGGUGGUGCGGGGAAACAGGACUGUUACUUUGAAAAAAUUAGAGUGUUUAAAGCAAGCUAACGCUUGAAUACAUUAGCAUGGAAUAAUGAAAUAGGACGAUCGAUCCUAUUUUGUUGGUUUCUAGGAUUGACGUA
rnacentral:rRNA from 1 species